rnacentral:rRNA from 1 species
UAACUGGCGGCGUGCUUCCCAUGCAAGUCGAACGGAAAGGCCCGCUUGCGGGUACUCGAGUGGCGAACGGGUGAGUAACACGUGGGUAACCUGCCCCCAUCUCUGGGAUAACCGUUGGAAACGGCGGCUAAUACCGGAUACGACCACCUUCCGCAUGGUUGGUGGUGGAAAGUUUUUGCGGUUGGGGAGGGACCCGCGGCCUAUCAGCUUGUUGGUGCGGUAGUGGCGCACCAAGGCUUUGACGGGUAGCCGGCCUGAGAGGGCGGUCGGUCACAUUGGGACUGAGAUACGGCCCAGACUCCUACGGGAGGCAGCAGUGGGGAAUUUUGCACAAUGGGCGCAAGCCUGAUGCAGCGACGCCGCGUGAGGGAUGACGGCUUUCGGGUUGUAAACCUCUUUUAUCCACCACGAAGGCUCCGUAUUCGCGGGGUUGACGGUAGUGGUUGAAUAAGCGCCGGCUAACUACGUGCCAGCAGCCGCGGUAAGACGUAGGGCGCGAGCGUUGUCCGGAUUUAUUGGGCGUAAAGGGCUCGUAGGCGGUUGAUUGCGUCCGCCGUGAAAGGCCUCGGCUUAACCGGGGUUUUGCGGUGGAUACGGGUCGACUUGAGGCAAUUAGGGGAGAUCGGAAUUCUACGUGUAGCGGUGAAAUGCGUAAAA